CUGAUGAAAAAAUCGAAGAAGAGAAAGCAGAAAGGGAUUUAUUAUGGCUGAAAAAGAGAGAGUUCGAGGGUUUGGAGUUCAAGGUGAAGAGAUUAUUUUUAAGCACCGGAGUGGUAUUAGCUCGCGCCAUUGAAGCACAGAGUUGUACCUUUAGUGUGUGAUGUGUGUGUUUUUUUAGUGAAACGUUGAACGAAAGAGGGGGAUAAGACGUGAUGCUGAAGCAUAUACCGAGG
rnacentral:lncRNA from 1 species